CCACCAUGUUGUCUGUGGGCGGAUGCCAUGAGAAGAGGGCGGAGCGCACGGUUUCCCGGGCAAAGUUAACGGUCUCUAGACUGCUGGACUUUAGCGCGGAAAGCAGGCUGGCUCUAAGUUGGGGUAAGAGAAGUACCCUGCGUCAAAACUGAUUACGUCGUUCGCCUUUGCAAGUGGUAAAGAUGGCGGCGGAACUGGCUAUCCGAAGUCUAAAGGGGAAAAGACGGUGGUUACCGCGGGGGCGGAACCUGUAGACUGGCCGCGCAGCCUGUCGGGAAACAAUUUCAAACUGGGGCGGGGCCUCGCUGGGAAGAUGCAGCUGAUCCGCAUGAACUAAGGCGUUGGGCUUCGUGGGGCGAACCGGCACCGAGGUUGCCCUGCCUCGAGAGGGCGGAAGUUAUGGACUCAUUGAAUGUGCCAGAAUUCACUCCAAAACAUGGGGUCUCUCCAAGGCUUAAAGAUUACUUUACUGGUGCCAGCCCUUUUCAAAAACAACUAGCAUCAGUCAGAAAGCAGACUCCGUUUGGUCAGACACCAUCUCGAAGGAAAAUUCCUCAGUGCUCACCAUUGCAAGAAAAUGUUGACCCACAAAAGAUUGCCUUUCUUCUGCAUAAACAGUGGACCUUAUAUUCGCUGACUCCCAUGUAUAAGUUCUCCUACACUAAUCUUAAAAAGUAUUCUACACUUCUAAAGGCUUUCCUUGCUGCUGAAAAGCAGAAAGGACUGGCUGUGGACAUGGGAGAGGAUUUUCAAUUCAAAGUGAUUUUCUCCAUUCUCUCAGGAAUGAAAGGAACACACAGGGACCCUGCAGCAUUUCUUGUUCAGGUUGUAUCCAAAUCCCAACCGUCAUCAAAGAAUUCAGAAGAUAAAGUAAUAUGGACAGGUUGGUUUUGCUGUGUGCAUGGAGAUAGUCUUCUAGAGAAUGUGCCAGAUGAUUUUACCUGUCUACCUUUGUUCCUUGCAAAUGGAGCAGAGUCUAAUACAGCCUUAAUUGGAACUUGGUUUCAGAAAACCUUUGAUUGUCGCUUUACUCGAUUAACAAUUAGUGCAUUCAAUCUUUCCUGGAUGGCUGCUAUGUGGACUUCAUGUAAUCUGGAACAUUAUAGGGCUGCUACAGAAUUGCUUUGGUCUGUACCAUGUAGCCCUCAGAGUUUGGACAUUUCUUAUGCAAUAAAUCCUGAAGAUGCAAAAGCUUUGUGGGACAGUGUCCACCAAACACCUGAGGAAAUAACACAGGAGGAAGUGGACCUAUUCAUAGACUGCCUUUGUUCACAUUUUCACAGACAUUUCAAAAUCAAUUUGUCAGCUACAAGAUUGGUCUGUGUGUCAACAUCUGUAGCUUCUGCACAUACUGAUGGGAAAAUAAAGAUGAGGAAACUGAGGCAGACAGAGGUUUAAUUGACUUGCCCAGGGUCCCACAUCUAGUAAGUUUCUGAGGCCAGAUUUGAACUCAGGUCCUCCCGACUCCAAGUUCAGCACUGAGUCAUCUAGCUACAUCAACCAACAAGAUUCUUUGUAGCAAAUAUCUGAUCGGAGUGUUGACAUUUCUGACAGAACUGGCAGUUUUUCAAAUUGAGUGACUUUAUGGGGACUAUGCCUUGUGAAUUGAUUAUAUAGUGUUUUUACCAGUAAGCUAUUUGGCUGAAAUGGGCCUGGUAUGUGAUCAUUGCUGCUGCCUGAAGUGGCCAUAGGUUUUCACAUCCAUCAUGGUGCCUGAAGUGUCUCAGUAGGGAAGUCUCUAACAAGGAGCCAUAAGAAUGGAGAAAGCAGCAGUGGCUGAGUCGUCAUACAAGAUAACCUUCAAUGGCAGCUCCCAGCACUGAUGGAAAUUGCUGAUUUUCAUUGUACAUCACCAUUUUCUAUUUCAUUGGAACUCAUCUUUGAAAUAGGCGUGGGGCACUAAAACAAUUUUUUUAAAACUACAUUUGAAAGCUUAAGCUCAAUUGGCAUCCUAUACUCAUUUAGUUAGUUUUAUCCAUUAAAAAACUUUCCCAAGACAUUCUAAUUCAUUUUUUCUGGAGUGAAACAAAAGCAUUUGCAGAGAAAAAGCAAGAGGGAAUGGAUUAAUGUGCAAAACUUUGGCUGCUAAUCUGCUUUUUUUUUUUUUUUUUUGUAAUGACAUUACUUAUUUUGCACUGUUGAAUUAAAUAUGCAGAUUUUAAUGACAAAGUGUUUGAUUUUAAAAUUAUAAUUUUUAAGAUUUUGAUUUUCAUCUCUGUAUAUAGAGAAACAGUUUUAUCUUCUCUUACCUAACGAUUUCUCAUUUUAAAAAAUUCUAAUCGGCUUCUUAACUUGUACUCCAGUUAAUUUACUUGAGCAAAAAUUAAGUACCUACUUGGCAGAUACUAAGCCCAAUGAUCAAUGAAUUAAUAUAUUACUGGAUUUAAGCUUUUUGAGGGCAGGGAUUGUUGUAUUUUUGCUCUUUUUUAUAUGUCUAGCACUUAGAACUUAUUUAUUGCCACACUAAUAAUGCUUAUUUAAAAAAAAAAAAAAACUGGAAGGCACAAAGAGGUUGCAGAUGAAGGAAAAGGUGACUUCUUGGAAAGACAAAAAAGUUGGCAUAAUUGGUUUAUUGGGUCCCCAAAGGUAAUAAAAGACAAUUUUUGAGAUAGUAGGUCAGCUUAGUUUGCAGUGCUCAUAGCUUGCAUAAGAAAAAAGACAGUCAUUGAGAUAGAUUGCAUUUUAGGUACCAAAAUCUACUGGAGAGGAUGAAGAGGCAGAGAAAUUCUGUUUUAUAAGUUUACAAGAUGCUUCAAAUUAAGUAAACAUAUUUUGAUAUACUUAAUGACUUCAGUUUAACUACAGGCAUGGGGGAAAAUGAAAAGCAUUUUGGAACAUAACUCAAGUUUAAAGAUGAAAGAAUCCAAAGACUUGCAGACUAUGCAGGAGCCUUAAACCUAUAUACCAUGAAUACUUUAUUGAAGAAGGAAUGACAAGGUCUAAAAAAAUUAUCUUGUACAGGAAACUGGUUAUUGAUGAGAGUUUUAUUAGACUCACCUAUUGACUAGUGGAAGCAAAGAUCAAGUUCAACAUCAGAUUAGAAGUUUAUACCAAACUGAAUCAAAUAAGCAGCUGUUCUCAAAAAAAAAAAAAAAAAAGACAAAAUAGAAAAAAGGCAAAAUUAAUGAAUUUGAAUAUCACUAUUUCCUGCAAAAUCUUAAACAAUAUAAGAAAAACCUAGAUAAAGCUAUCCAGAAAGUUGGGUAAAUCUCUAGGGAAUUUAUGGGAAAAUAUAAACAAGAAUGACACAAGAAAACAAGAUAUGAAUGGGUUGCUAUCUGUACCACUAAAGAAAUUGCUAAAAGCACACAUUCAUUGAAAUGUUGAAACUUCUUCAGUAAAAAGAAGAAAUGAAUUCUUUUAGAGGAAGAAAACAAUCUAAACUGAGAAAUCAGCACCUGAGAGAUUAGGAAAACUUUUUCCUGUGCACAGGUGAUGACUGUCUACACAUGAAGAAGACUGAGUUUGUGUUUUUACUCAGUAUUUUAAAUUGAACUUUGCUGUAAGCCUUUAUUUUUGGGGGUGGGGUGGGGUGGGGUGGAGAUGAUGUGGGGAAAGGGAGACAACUGGGGCUAAGUAACUUGCUCAAAGUCAUCCAGCUAGUAAAUGUCUUGAGAGCAGGACUCAGAUCCUCCUGACUCCAAGGCUGGUGCUCUAUCCACUGCACCACCUAGCUGCCCGUUUGUUUUAUAAACAUUUCACAUUUACAAUUAAAACAGUUAAAAAUCUGAAUAUGGUUUUGCUAAAAAUUAUUUUUGAAUAGCAACAUUUAGGAUAUAUAGGCUUAUAUAUAAAAACAAGUUAUGUAUUUGUCUUGGUAACCGUUGCUGGUCUAAUAUGUAUUGUAACCUCCUGGGUGCUCCUAAUUCCCUAGUUGUAAUUUAACUUCUUGCAUUAGAGAAGAUUCACCUUCCAAAUAUAAGUAUCUGAUUCAAUUCAAA